GACGAACGCUGGCGGCGUGCUUAACACAUGCAAGUCGAACGGAAAGGCCCUGCUUUUGUGGGGUGCUCGAGUGGCGAACGGGUGAGUAACACGUGAGUAACCUGCCCUUGACUUUGGGAUAACUUCAGGAAACUGGGGCUAAUACCGGAUAGGAGCUCCUGCUGCAUGGUGGGGGUUGGAAAGUUUCGGCGGUUUGGGAUGGUCUCGCGGCUUAUCAGCUUGUUGGUGGGGUAGUGGCUUACCAAGGCUUUGACGGGUAGCCGGCCUGAGAGGGUGACCGGCCACAUUGGGCCUGCGAUACGGCCCAGACUCCUACGGGAGGCAGCAGUGGGGAAUAUUGCACAAUGGGCGGAAGCCUGAUGCAGCAACGCCGCGUGCGGGAUGACGGCCUUCGGGUUGUAAACCGCUUUCGCCUGUGACGAAGCGUGAGUGACGGUAAUGGGUAAAGAAGCACCGGCUAACUACGUG
rnacentral:rRNA from 1 species